AACCCCUCAAGCUCUGCUUGGUGUUGGGCGCUUGUCCCGCCUCAGGCGUGGACUCGCCUGGAAUACAUUGGCGGCCUUCAUUUUGGGCUAUCGAGCGCAGCAGACUCGCGCCUCGGGCUCAGUGCGUUGGCAUCCAGGAAGCACCAUCAA
rnacentral:misc_RNA from 2 species